UACGUAGGGAGCGAGCGUUGUCCGGAAUUACUGGGUGUAAAGGGAGUGCAGGCGGGACUGCAAGUCAGAUGUGAAAUUUAGGGGCUCAACCCCUCAAACUGCAUUUGAAACUGUGGUUCUUGAGUGAAGUAGAGGUAAGCGGAAUUCCAAGUGUAGCGGUGAAAUGCGUAGAUAUUUGGAGGAACAUCAGUGGCGAAGGCGGCUUACUGGGCUUUAACUGACGCUGAGGCUCGAAAGCGUGGGGA
rnacentral:rRNA from 1 species